rnacentral:tRNA from 1 species
AAUAAGGUGCCUGAUAAAAGGGUUAUCUUGAUAGGAUAAAUAAUGUAUAAUAUACUCUUAUUA